AUUGAACGCUGGCGGCAGGCCUAACACAUGCAAGUCGAGCGGAUGAGAGAAGCUUGCUUCUCGAUUCAGCGGCGGACGGGUGAGUAAUGCCUAGGAAUCUGCCUGGUAGUGGGGGACAACGUUUCGAAAGGAACGCUAAUACCGCAUACGUCCUACGGGGGAAAGCAGGGGACCUUCGGGCCUUGCGCUAUCAGAUGAGCCUAGGUCGGAUUAGCUAGUUGGUGAGGUAAUGGCUCACCAAGGCGACGAUCCGUAACUGGUCUGAGAGGAUGAUCAGUCACACUGGGACUGAGACACGGUCCAGACUCCUACGGGAGGCAGCAGUGGGGAAUAUUGGACAAUGGGCGAAAGCCUGAUCCAACCAUGCCGCGUGUGUGAAGAAGGUCUUCGGAUUGUAAAGCACUUUAAGUUGGGAGGAAGGGUUGUAGAUUAAUACUCUGCAAUUUUGACGUUACCGACAGAAUAAGCACCGGCUAACUCUGUGCCAGCAGCCGCGGUAAAAC
rnacentral:rRNA from 1 species